rnacentral:misc_RNA from 1 species
GAAAUGCGAUAAGUAAUGUGAAUUGCAGAAUUCAGUGAAUCAUCGAAUCUUUGUACGCACCUUGUGCUCCUUGGUAUUCCUUGGAGCAUGCCUGUUUGAGUAUCAUGAAAUCUUCAAAGUAAAUCUUUUGUUAACUCAAUUGGUUUCUACUUUGGUAUUGGAGGUCUUUGCAGCUUCACACCUGCUCCUCUUUGUUCAUUAGCUGGAUCUCAGUGUUAUGCUUGGUUCCACUCGGCGUGAUAAGUUAUCUAUCGCUGAGGACACUGUAAAAGGUGGCCAAGGUAAAUGCAGAUGAACCGCUUCUAAUAGUCCAUUGACUUGGACAAUACUUUUAUGAUCUGAUCUCAAAUCAGGUAGGACUACCCGCUGAACUUAAGC